rnacentral:rRNA from 1 species
AUUGAACGCUGGCGGCAGGCCUAACACAUGCAAGUCGAACGAGUGGCGGACGGGUGAGUAAUGUCUGGGAAACUGCCUGAUGGAGGGGGAUAACUACUGGAAACGGUAGCUAAUACCGCAUACCAUCAGAUGUGCCCAGCUGGGAUUAGCUAGUUGGUGGGGUAACGGCUCACCAAGGCGACGAGCCCUAGCUGGUCUGAGAGGAUGACCAGCGAAACUGGAACUGAGACACGGUCCAGACUACUAGGGGAGGCAGCAGUGGGGAAUACGGCGCAAUGGGCACAAGCCUGAUGCAGCCAUGCCGCGUGUGUGAAGAAGGCCUUCGGGUUGUAAAGUACUUUCAGCGGGGAGGCGUUACCCGCAGAAGAAGCACCGGCUAACUCCGUGCCAGCAGCCGCGGUAAUUC